CCCUUAGAUGUUCUGGGCUGCACGCGCGCUACACUGAAGCGUUCAACGAGUAUUCACCUUGCCCGGGAGGGUUGGGUAAUCUUUUGAAAACGCUUCGUGAUGGGGAUAGAUUAUUGCAAUUAUUAAUCUUCAACGAGGAAUUCCUAGUAAGCGCGAGUCAUCAGCUCGUGCUGAUUACGUCCCUGCCCUUUGUACACACCGCCCGUCGCACCUACCGAUUGAAUGGUCCGGUGAGCUGUCCGGACUGGCCGUCUGUUGCUUCAUUGCGAUGGGCAGCCGGGAAGUUCCGCAAACCUUNUNAUUUAUNGGAAGGUGAANUCGUANCA
rnacentral:rRNA from 1 species